AAGCUAGUUGUAUUAUUAGUUAAUGCAAGAUCGACUAGUGCAGUUCUAGGUAGAAUAAUGAUGAUGACAAUUUUUUACUAUAUGUCUUGACCAAGUCUCGUGCCAGCAGUCGCGGUAAUACGUGGAAGACUAGUGUUAUUCAUCUUUAUUAGGUUUAAAGGGUACCUAGACGGUAUUUCUAGCCCAAAAUAGGGUACGGAUUUACUAGAGUUUUAUGUGAGGAGGGGAGUACUCAUAGAGUAGAGAUGAAAUUUUGUUAUACUAUGAGGUAACUGGUGGCGGCGAAAGCAACCUUCUAUGUAUAAACUGACGUUGAGGGACGAAGGCUUGGGUAGCAAAUAGGAUUAGAUACCCUAGUAGUCCAAGCAGACAAUUCUGAAUGCCAUAGAUUAGAUUAUUUUUGGUCUAUAAAUGAAAGUGUAAGCAUUCCACCUUAGGAGUAAUGUGGCAACACAGGAACUGAAAUCAUUAGACCGUUUCUGAAACCAGUAGUGAAGUAUGUUAUUUAAAUUGAUGGUCCACAAAAAACCUUACCACAACUUGAAUAUUUUUAAUUUAUACAAGCGUUGCACGGCUGUCUUCAGUUAAUGUCGUGAGAUUUUGGUUAACUCCAUUAAUUAACGUAAACCCUU
rnacentral:rRNA from 1 species